rnacentral:pre_miRNA from 1 species
CGGGGGAGGCGGGAUCCUGGGCUGUGUCCCGGCGCCCUGUGCUCCGGAGCCUGCGCUGUUGGAUUCGGGCUCCCCCGCCCCCAGCCCCCU